GUAGUAUGAACAUAAUGGAACGAUUCUUAAAAAGAAAAUUACCACCUGCUAGUGAUGAAGGGACUUCACGUGCAAAUCGAGUUGUAUCAAACAUCAAUGUUACUACUCAUUCUUCUUUAAUAUUGUCGCCAAAAGAUGUAAAUUUAGAUGAGCUACCUUAUGAUCCGGCUGAUCGAAAGAGAAUCAAAGAAUAUCCUAGCCUUAAGCUACAAGAUCAGAUAAGGAGAAGAUAUUUGAUCAAAGGUUCUUGUUGCAUCAAGGAUUAGCUUUUCGUGGUCAUGAUGAGUCAGAAGAUUCUAAGAAUAGGGGGAAUUUUCUAGAGUUGGUGAAGCUUUUAGCAGAGCAAAAUGAAAAAAUUAAGAAGGUUGUGCUAAGAAAUGCUCCAGAAAAUCAUCAAAUGGUGGCUCCAGCAAUACAAAAGGACAUUGUUCAAUGCUUUGCAGAGGUCAUAGUGAAUUCUAUCAUCGAAGAGAUUGGUGGUGAUGUGUUUUGCUUGUUGGUUGAUGAGUCUGCGGAUGUUUCAGACAAGGAACAAAUGGCUGUGGUUUUACGGUACGUCGACAAAUGUGGAGUGCUCAAAGAAAGACUCAUUAGUGUUGUUCAUGUCAAUGAGACAACAUCUUUAUGUCUCAAAUCUAACAUCGAUCAAUUAUUUACCAAGUAUAAAUUGAGCUGGAAACAAGUCAGAGGUCAAGGUUAUGAUGGAGCAAGCAACAUGAGAGGUGAGUUCAAUGGUUUAAGAGCUCUGAUCAUGAGAGAGAAUAGGUCAGCAUUCUAUGUCCAUUGUUUUGCUCACCAGCUUCAGUUAGUCAUAGUAGCAGUAGCUAAAAAAAAUGAUGAUAUUAGUGACUUUUUUGACAUGAUAUCUCUUCUUCUUAACGUGGUUGGAGCUUCUUGCAAACGGAAAGACAUGAUACGGGAAACUCAACAAGAGAGAGUAAAGAAAGCAGUAG